AACGGGGAGCUUGUAUUACAGGCUGAGAGGAAGGUUUGACCUUCGACCCAUGAACCUGAUUUGGAUAAUGCCAACGUAGGGAGCUUGCAU
rnacentral:ncRNA from 1 species